UUUGGAAUAUAGUCGUCAGGCUCAUAACCUGAAGGUCGUAGGUUCAAAUCCUACCCCCGCAACCA
rnacentral:tRNA from 1 species